AGGACGGACGCUGGCGGCGUGCUUAACACAUGCAAGUCGAGCGGUAAGGCCUUUCGGGGUACACGAGCGGCGAACGGGUGAGUAACACGUGGGUGAUCUGCCCUGCACUUCGGGAUAAGCCUGGGAAACUGGGUCUAAUACCGGAUAUGACCUCCUAUCGCAUGGUGGGUGGUGGAAAGAUUUAUCGGUGCAGGAUGGGCCCGCGGCCUAUCAGCUUGUUGGUGGGGUAAUGGCCUACCAAGGCGACGACGGGUAGCCGACCUGAGAGGGUGACCGGCCACACUGGGACUGAGACACGGCCCAGACUCCUACGGGAGGCAGCAGUGGGGAAUAUUGCACAAUGGGCGAAAAGCCUGAAUGCAGCGACGCCGCGUGAGGGAUGA
rnacentral:rRNA from 1 species